AUUGAACGCUGGCGGCAUGCUUUACACAUGCAAGUCGAACGGUAACAGGUUAAGCUGACGAGUGGCGAACGGGUGAGUAAUGCAUCGGAACGUGCCCAGUCGUGGGGGAUAACGCAGCGAAAGCUGCGCUAAUACCGCAUACGAUCUGAGGAUGAAAGCGGGGGACCGUAAGGCCCCGCGCGAUCGGAGCGGGCGAUGUCAGAUUAGGGAGUUGGUGGGGUAAAGGCUCACCAAGCCAACGAUCUGUAGCUGGUCUGAGAGGACGACCAGCCACACUGGGACUGAGACACGGCCCAGACUCCUACGGGAGGCGGCAGUGGGGAAUUUUGGACAAUGGGCGAAAGCCUGAUCCUGCAAUGCCGCGUGCAGGAAGAAGGCCUUCGGGUUGUAAACUGCUUUUGUACGGAGCGAAAAGGUCUCCUCUAAUACAGGGGGCUCAUGACGGUACCGUAAGAAUAAGCACCGGCUAACUACGUGCCAGCCGCCGCCGUAA
rnacentral:rRNA from 1 species